CCCUUAGAUGUUCUGGGCCGCACGCGUGCUACACUGAGUGGAUCAGCGGGUCAGGUUACGCGAGAGCGUUUCCUAAUCUUCAAAUCCGCUCGUGAUGGGGAUUGACGGUUGCAAUUUUCCGUCAUGAACGAGGAAUACCUUGUAAGCGCGAGUCAUCAGCUCGCGUUGAUUACGUCCCUGCCCUUUGUACACACCGCCCGUCGCUACUACCGAUUGAAUGGUUUAGUGAGGACUCCUGAUUGGCGCCGCCGCCCCGGCAACGGAGCAGCGGACUGCCGAAAAGUUGUUCAAACUUGAUCAUUUAGAGGAAGUAAAAGUCGUAACA
rnacentral:rRNA from 1 species